rnacentral:misc_RNA from 1 species
AACUUUUGGCAAUGGAUCACUUGGCUUUCGCAUCGAUGAAGGAUGCCGCGAAAGUGUGAAACGUAAUGUGAAUUGCAGAAUUCAGUGAAUCAUCGAAUCUUUGAAUGCAUCUUGCGCUCCUUGGUAUUCCAAGGAGCAUGCCUGUUUGAGUGUCGUGAAUCUCUCUCAAUCCCACCUAUGUGGGCUUGGAUUUGGAUGUAAUGCCGUGGGUGGUUGACCCAAUACUGGCUCGUCCGAAAUUCAUCAGCUGGCCCUUUAUAUGAGUUUGGUGGUGUGAUAAGAAACACUUGUAGCGCCAUUUCAAAACCUGGGGACUUGACUGCUUACAAUCUCAUUUUGACCUCAAAACAGGUAGGACUACCCGCUGAACUUAAGCAUAUCAAUAAGCGGAGGCU